rnacentral:scRNA from 1 species
GAAUCUUCGACUGGUUCAGGGAGUGGUAAUGA